UACGAAGGGAGCUAGCGUUACUCGGAAUCAUUGGGCGUAAAGCGUGCGUAGGCGGCUUUAUAAGUCGGAAGUGAAAGCCUGGGGCUCAACCCCAGAAUUGCUUUCGAAACUGUAGAGCUAGAAUACCAGAGGGGAUGGCGGAAUUCCUAGUGUAGAGGUGAAAUUCGUAGAUAUUAGGAGGAACACCGGUGGCGAAGGCGGCCAUCUGGCUGGUUAUUGACGCUGUUGCACGAAAGCGUGGGGAGCAAACAGG
rnacentral:rRNA from 1 species